rnacentral:rRNA from 1 species
AUGCAUUCAGGGCCGGCCCUGAGGGGGGCAGGGGGCGGCCGCCCUGGGCCCCCGAGUAGGAGGGUCGACGGCGCCCCGUCUGCGUCGUCUAAUUAUGAUUAUGGGCUGCUGGGCGCGAUUAGUAGAGGAAGGAGCAGAAGCUUAAUUGCAAUUUCUAAAUUUCUAGCCAUCCAGAUAGCAUAUGGGAGCUACAUCAACGAAACAAGGGCGACUGGUGGUGGAAUGGUGCUACGUGAUGACGGCGGUGCUAUUAUCUUUACUGCAUGCAGGCAGAUCACCACAUGUGAUGAUGGACUAGAGGCAGAGCUCAUGGCGUGCAGAGAAGGCCUUGAUCUUGCUCUUCAUCGCACCGGAUUACCCAUUGCGAUCGAGUUGGACUGCGCUCACGCAGUCUUGAUGCUAAAUACGAGUCAUGGGGACUGCUCUCCAGACAAGACUAUUGUGCGCGACAUUCAGUUACUAAUGUCUGACGACCCAUGGGAGAUUUCAAUUACGCAUAUUAGACGUACUCAAAAUAAAGUUAGUCAUAGUCUCGCGGCUUACGGGCGGAGCACAUCCCGUACUGCCAUUUGGUUUGGUACGGGCACACACGAAGUUGUAAAUUUGUGUAUGCUGAAAAGCCGCCUUGAGUAA